rnacentral:rRNA from 1 species
GCGAGUGGCGGACGGGUGAGUAGAGCAUCGGAACGUAACUACUGGUGGGGGAUAACCUAGCGAAAGAUAGGCUAAUACCGCAUAAGCUCGAGAGAGGAAAGAUUGGGACCUGGAGACAGGCCAAUAGCCAGGAGAGCGGCCGAUGUCUGAUUAGCUAGUUGGUAGGGUAAAGGCUUACCAAGGCGACGAUCAGUAGCUGGUCUGAGAGGAUGAUCAGCCACACUGGGACUGAGAUACGGCCCAGACUCCUACGGGAGGCAGCAGUGGGGGAUAUUGGACAAUGGGGGGAACCCUGAUCCAGCGAUGCCGCGUGAGUGAAGAAGGCCUUCGGGUUGUAAAGCUCUUUUAUUGGGGAAGAAAGGACUGAACCUAAGAGGGUCAGGAGAUGACGGUACCCAAAGAAUAAGCACCGGCUAACUACGUGCCAGCAGCCGCGGUAAUACGUAGGGUGCGAGCGUUAAUCGGAUUUACUGGGCGUAAAGGGUGAGUAGGCGGAUGAUUAAGUUAGAUGUGAAAUACCUGGGCUUAACCGAGGGAUUGCAUUUAAAACUGGUGAUCUAGAGUAGGGCAGAGGGGGGUGGAAUUCCGUGUGUAGCAGUGAAAUGCGUAGAGAUAUGGAGGAACACCGAUGGCGAAGGCAGCCCCCUGGGCCAAUACUGACGCUGAGUCACGAAAGCGUGGGGAGCAAACAGGAUUAGAUACCCUGGUAGUCCAUGCUGUAAACGAUGUCGACUAGUUGUUGGGRCGCAAGUCUUAGUAACGAAGCAAACGCGUGAAGUCGACCGCCUGGGGAGUACGGCCGCAAGGUUAAAACUCAAAGGAAUUGACGGGGACCUGCACAAGCAGUGGAUGAUGUGGAUUAAUUCGAUGCAACGCGAAGAACCUUACCUACCUGU